rnacentral:rRNA from 1 species
UACGAAGGGGGCUAGCGUUGCUCGGAAUUACUGGGCGUAAAGGGCGCGUAGGCGGACAGUUUAGUCAGAGGUGAAAGCCCAGGGCUCAACCUUGGAAUUGCCUUUGAUACUGGCAAUCUUUGAGUCCGGGAGAGGUGGGUGGAACUGCGAGUGUAGAGGUGAAAUUCGUAGAUAUUCGCAAGAACACCAGUGGCGAAGGCGGCUCACUGGCCCGGUACUGACGCUGAGGUGCGAAAGCGUGGGGAGCAAACAGG